CAUACACUCUUUUGUUUUUACCUUUCUGAUAACAGACACUACAGAUGACAUGGCCACAGCUUGUGACAGCCAGUUUUCGCUCUGCAGUGGGGGAGAGGAAGCAGUUGUUGCAGCAUAUCCAGUCUCACCAGCCUCUCUCCAGCAAAGACAGCAAACCUUGUGGAGUUGGUCUGGAAGCAAAGGUAGUGUUGACCAGAGGCGUGAGCUGUGAAGGACUCACCAGUGACCAGCAUGUCUUCAGGAAUCUCCUCAAUGAUGCAUUUUUCCUCCUGCUCUCCGAGAUCAAAAUACAUGGCUGCUGCCAACACAAGGACUCUUGCUUCGUGCUGGGAUGUGCUGCACUGGACGUCACAGCAUGAAGUGAGCUCUGUGAGAUUUCAGGCCUCGUAAUCUAAAUCAACAUUUGGUGAACUGUUUUAAAUACUUGGUGAGCACAUCCAUCCGUUUUAUGACCAACACUUCAUCAGGACGAAUGCUAGCCAACACCGGGGCUUGAACCCAGGUCAUCCAGUUAAAAGCAUUUCUCUCUGCACUCAGUUUGAUCCACAGUGUUCGUAAUAUUAACUUGGGAGCCCAAAUGUAAUUACACCCAAAUGUGUGGUUGAGAUUUAAAGGUCGCACUGAGCAGAAGCACUAAAGAAGUGUUUAAAUCCAUAUCAUGGAAAAAUGACUCACAAUUGUUAUUGUGAUUAUGUAAUGUGAAGGCAAUAAAACUCCAAAUAUACACAAUAUAGUAUCUUUCUUCAAAAAAGAGUUAUCAAUGAUGUCACAA